CCUACGGGAGGCAGCAGUGGGGAAUAUUGGACAAUGGGGGAAACCCUGAUCCAGCGACGCCGCGUGAGUGAAGAAGUAUUUCGGUACGUAAAGCUCUAUCAGCAGGAAAGAAAAUGACGGUACCUGACUAAGAAGCACCGGCUAACUACGUGCCAGCAGCCGCGGUAAUACGAAGGGGGCAAGCGUUAUCCGGAUUUACUGGGUGGAAAGGGAGCGUAGACGGCUGGGCAAGUCAGUAGUGAAGUGCCGAGGCCCAACCCCGGAACUGCUAUGGAAACUGUGGAGCUGGAGUGCAGGAGGGGUAAGCGGAAUUCCUGGUGUAGCGGUGGAAUGCGUAGAUAUCAGGAGGAACACCGGCGGCGAAGGCGGCUUACUGGACUGUAACUGACGUUGAGGCUCGAAGGCGUGGGGAGCAAACAGGAUUAGAUACCCUUGUAGUC
rnacentral:rRNA from 1 species